GACGAACGCUGGCGGCGUGCUUAACACAUGCAAGUCGAACGGAAAGGCCCUGCUUUUGUGGGGUGCUCGAGUGGCGAACGGGUGAGUAACACGUGAGUAACCUGCCCUUGACUUUGGGAUAACUUCAGGAAACUGGGGCUAAUACCGGCUAGGAGCUCCUGCUGCAUGGUGGGGGUUGGAACGUUUCGGCGGUUGGGGAUGGACUCGCGGCUUAUCAGCUUGUUGGUGGGGUAGUGGCUUACCAAGGCUUUGACGGGUAGCCGGCCUGAGAGGGUGACCGGCCACAUUGGGACUGAGGGACGGCCCAGACGGCUACGGGAGACAGCAGUGGGGAAUAUGGCACAAUGGGCGGAAGCGUGAUGCAGCAACGCCGCGUGCGGGAUGACGGCCUUCGGGUUGGAAACCGCUUUCGCCUGUGACGAAGCGUGAGUGACGGUAAUGGGUAAAGAAGCACCGGCUAACUACGUG
rnacentral:rRNA from 1 species